AUUAAAGUUGUUGCAGUUAAAAAGCUCGUAGUUGGAUUUCUGGUACAACGCGCCUGGCCCGCUUUUAGUGAGUGCCGGUGCGCGUUUGCCAUCCUUCUAGAAAACGUUUCUACCUGGGCAACCGGGCCGGACUCGCGAUCUAGAUCUUUUACUUUGAAAAAAUUAGAGUGUUUAAAGCAGGCUUUUGCUGUGAAUACAUUAGCAUGGAAUAAUAAUCUAGGACUUCGGUUCUAUUUUGUUGGUUUCUAGUACUGAAGUAAUGAUUGAUAGGGAUAGUUGGGGGUGCUAGUAUUGGCCGGCCAGAGGUGAAAUUCUUGGAUUCGGUCAAGACUAACUUAUGCGAAAGCAUUCACCAAGGAUGUCUUCUUUAAUCAAGAACGAAAGUUGGGGGAUCGAAGACGAUCAGAUACCGUCGUAGUCUCAACCAUAAACUAUGCCAACUAGGGAUGGGUGAACGUUGUUUUUUUGACUUCAUCUGCACCUUAUGAGAAAUCAAAGUCUUUGGGUUCCGGGGGGGGUAUGGUCGCAAGGCUGAAACUUAAAG
rnacentral:rRNA from 1 species